rnacentral:lncRNA from 1 species
GGCAAUGCUGGAUCCUUAACUCACUGAGCAGGACCAGGGAUGGAACCCAAGUCCUCAUGGAUGCUAGUCGGGUUUNAGUCCGCUGAACCACAACGGGAACUUCCCCCUGUGCUUGUUCUUGCUUCCUUCACAUCUCUAAGGUGUUGAUCCUAAGUAGUCUAGAGACCUCCCCAAUAACUUCCUGCAGAUAAAUAUCCGUCUCCGAGCCUGUUUCUCAGGGAACUAAACCUAUAGGAACAUGACUCAUGGCCUACAAGGUCCUUCAUGAUCUGGCCCCUGCCGAUCUUUCUAGUCUUAUUCUCUCCAGUGCCCCCUUGCACCCUACUCCUCAGCUCAUCAAACUCUCAAUUCCCCAGACACCAAGUUCUGUCUUGCUCUGUGCAAAUUUGUUUCACAGCAUUCAUUCAAUAAAUAUUCAUUAUGCUACUGUACCUACCGUGAGGCUCUCAGGAAAGAGGGCAUUCUCAAAAGGGGGAACUAAGGAAAAUUUAGUGAGAGGGUUUUCUAAAAGAUGUAAGCAGGGUUAUGGGAAACCAGAAAGCAUCCCAAGACUAAAAGCAGUAGGGAGCUCCUUGGGUUGAAGAGGUAAAGGGAAGAGUGGUUAGUGAGAGCUACACUGGAGGAGCUGUAGCUGCAGGCAAGAGCCAGCAGGCAGGAAUGGUGACCUUCAGGAAGAAGCCAGCUGCUGCUGACCCAGCCCAGCUGGGAGUGAGGUAGGAUGAAAAAUUCCCCAAUCCCUCUCUCUCUCCCUCUCUCCAUCCUCCAAACUCCCACUGGGGCAGCUGAACCCACCUAGAAGCCCCAGAAGUAAAGAUGUGGUCCACAGAGCUGGGCGGAGAGGUAAAAGGCUGGAUUUGGAGGAGCAAAGAGAGAGCAUUCUUUGUAAUCCCUGAACAACACGGAAUAGCAGUGCCCUCGUGUUGUUUACAAUCUCAAAGGGGAAAAUAGACUUCCAUCAAUGAAUCAUAGAAAAGUAAUGAAAAUACUAAUUCUUUUCAUGUUCACAUAAAAUUUACCAUGAGCGAGUGAAUCUGUAAAGCAAGUCCCCAGAAAAUUUUAAAAACCGGCCUCAUAGACCAUGCUCUCUGCCCACAAUAUAAUUGUUAUAACUGAUUAACGAAAACCUAGAGGGAUUUAUCCUCACACUUUGAAAGUGAAAAACAUGCCUAUGUACAACUCAGGCAAAGAAGAAAUCAUAAUGGCAAUAACAAAAAUGUUACAUGUUAAAAUUUAUGGGAUGCCCCAUAAAUAGUUGUAUUUCAAGGGAAAUUAUGAAAUUAAAUGUUUACAUUAAAAAAGAAGAAAAGUUGAAAAUGUAUAAGCUAAGCAUCCAACUUUAGAAGAUGGGGGGAAAUGGACAAUGGAAUAACCCUAAAAAGGAGAACAAGUAAGAUAAUAAAGACAAGA